CGGGGCUCUGGCUGCGGCGGUGGUUGUGGCGGCUCUUUCGUAAAUGCCGGGCCUGCUCAAAGGUGGUGGAAGCCAGUAGGUGUUGAGGACUUCCCAGUGUUCAGAUUGGGUCAUUAGAUGAAAAUGUUCCUGAUGCCAACCUCUUCAGAAUUAAACACUGGGCAGAACUUCCUCACCCAGUGGAUGACUAGUCCUUCUCGGGCUGGGGUCAUAUUAAAUCGAGAAUUUCCUAUUUUGGAUGCCGAUGAGAAGCAAGCAGCUACAACUGUUUCUGCCAGCUUUCCCGUGAAAGCCGCCCAUUUUUCAAGUAGCUUCAGUAUUAGUAGUGAAGAGGAUUCAUUUCAUGAAGAACAGACGCUGGAGGCUGGAAGACCUUAUAAACCACGGUCAGAAGACCCGGAAGCUCAUCCAGUCUCUGCUUCAGUCAGAAGGGAGCCAAUAGCAUCAUGUCAGGAUGCCCCAGGAUGCCAGGAGGGUAACAGAAAUGCCGCUACGCCUGAUCUCAAGAGUGAAUUCAAAGAAGUGGCUAAUAAAAACCCACUUUUUAAAAAACUGGAGCAGCUGAAAGAAAUACAGCAGAAGAAGCAGGAACAGCUGAAGAGGCAGCAGCUUGAACAACUGCAGAGGCUCAUGGAGGAGCAAGAGAAGCUGCUCACCAUGGUGUCUGGGCAGCACAUGUUUCCAGGUUCAUUACUGCCUGAUGAGCUGAGCCAGAAGCAUCGCUCUCCAGGAGACUCAGCCUCAGGAGAGAGGGCCACCCUGUCACCACCCAGCUACCCAAAUCCAACCCAAGACAACUCCCGUGCUUCCAGCCUUCUACCAGAUGAACAAAGUAACUUCUGUAGAGCCACUCAACAAGAUUCUGUUUUAACUUCAAAAAAUGCUUCUGAUUUGUUUCAUGAGUCACAAUAUCAUGAAGCACAUGUGAGAAGAAAUGAUUUAAAGGAGGAAAGCCAUAACCAUCCUUCAGGGGAAGGUGCUUUGCCAUGCUGGGAAAAGAACAGACCUUGAGGAGAAUCCACAUGAACAUGGUGUUGUUCCCAGAGAGGAAGCCAUGUCUGGUACUUCCCAGACACACUGCCACAGUACAAGUGAAGGAUGUGUUCUGGACAAAACAAUAAAAAGGAAGAUUGCACCAGUCAAGAAGGGAGAAGACUUCAGCAAGUCUGACAGGAGCGUAAGUCCUCCUCCAUCUGACUUGAUGGUAAAAUUCUUCCCUUCUUUGAAACCAAAGCCAAAAUUAGAUUCACACGUAGAAAAUGAACCCAAGUUAAGCCUGAGUCAAGAUCAACCACCAGGUGACAGUGUUCGAUCUCAGGUCUUAAGAGAGAAAGUUAUUGAACUGGAAUCAGAAAUAGAAAAAUUUAAAGCUGAGAACACAUCUUUAGCUAAACUUCGUAUUGAACGAGAAAGUGCCUUGGAAAAACUGAGGAAAGAAAUUGCUGACUUUGAGCAACAAAAAGCAAGAGAACUGGCUCGAAUAGAAGAGUAUAAAAAGGAGGAGACGAGGAAACUACAAAAGGAGCGCAAAGUCUUCGAGAAGUACACAGCAGCUGCAAGAACAUUCCCAGAUAAAAAGGAGCGGGAAGAAAUACAGGUAGCUGGCUCUGUACCACAUUCCAGGUUAAUAAAGGCAGCCAUCUUGAGGAAUUACAGGAAGACUUGAAAAGGAAGGA
rnacentral:lncRNA from 1 species